rnacentral:rRNA from 1 species
GACGAACGCUGGCGGCGUGCUUAACACAUGCAAGUCGAACGAAGUGGCAAACGGGUGAGUAACGCGUAAUCAACCUGCCCUUCCGAGGGGGACAACAGUUGGAAACGACUGCAAAUACCGUAUACUGCAGGGUGGGAUUGCGUCUGAUUAGCUAGUUGGAGGGGUAACGGCCCACCAAGGCGAUGAUAAGUAGCCGGUCUGAGAGGAUGAACGGCCACAUUGGGACUGAGACACGGCCCAGACUCCUACGGGAGGCAGCAGUGGGGAAUCUUCCGCAAUGGACGAAAGUCUGACGGAGCAACGCCGCGUGAGUGAUGACGGCCUUCGGGUUGUAAAGCUCUGUUAAUCGGGACGCGGUACCGGAAUAGAAAGCGACGGCUAACUACGUGCCAGCAGCCGCGGUAAUUC